CUACGGGUGGCACCAGUCGGGAAUAUUGCGCAAUGGAGGAAACUCUGACGCAGUGACGCCGCGUAUAGGAAGAAGGUUUUCGGAUUGUAAACUAUUGUCGUUAGGGAAGAUAAAAGACAGUACCUAAGGAGGAAGCUCCGGCUAACUACGUGCCAGCAGCCGCGGUAAUACGUAGGGAACAAGCGUUAUCCGGAUUUAUUGGGUGUAAAGGGUGCGUAGACGGGACAGCAAGUUAGUUGUGAAAUCCCUCGGCUUAACUGAGGAACUGCAACUAAAACUACUAUUCUUGAGUGCAGGAGAGGAAAGUGGAAUUCCUAGUGUAGCGGUGAAAUGCGUAGAUAUUAGGAGGAACACCAGUGGCGAAGGCGACUUUCUGGACUGUAACUGACGUUGAAGCACGAAAGUGUGGGGAGCAAACAGGAUUAGAUACCCCCGUAGUC
rnacentral:rRNA from 1 species